CUUGAGUACUGGAGAGGCAAGGGGAAWUUCCACGUGUAGCGGUGAAAUGCGUAGAGAUGUGGAGGGAAUACCAGUGGCGAAAGGCGCCUUGCUGGACAGUGACUGACGCUGAGGCAMGAAAAGCGUGGGGGAGCAAACAGGAUUUAGAUACCCUGGUAGUCCACGCCGUAAACGAUGAGUGCUAGGUKGUUGGGGGUUCAACCCCUCAGUGCCGAAGGAAACCCAAUAAGCACUCCGCCUGGGGAGUACGGUCGCAAGACUGAAACUCAAAGGAAUUGACGGGGGCCCGCACAAGCAGUGGAGCAUGUGGUUUAAUUCGAAGCAACGCGAAGAACCUUACCAGGGCUUGACAUCCCUCUGACCGGUUCAGAGAUGAGCCUUCCCUUCGGGGCAGAGGAGACAGGUGGUGCAUGGUUGUCGUCAGCUCGUGUCGUGAGAUGUUGGGUUAAGUCCCGCAACGAGCGCAACCCUUGAUCUGUGUUACCAGCACGUAAUGGUGGGGACUCACAGGUGACUGCCGGCGUAAGUCGGAGGAAGGUGGGGAUGACGUCAAAUCAUCAUGCCCUUUAUGUCCUGGGCUACACACGUGCUACAAUGGGCGGUACAACGGGAAGCGAGACCGCGAGGUGGAGCCAAACCCCAAAAGCCGUUCGUAGUUCGGAUUGCAGGCUGCAACUCGCCUGCAUGAAGCCGGAAUUGCUAGUAAUCGCGGAUCAGCAUGCCGCGGUGAAUCCGUUCCCGGGCCUUGUACACACCGCCCGUCACACCAUGGGAGUUGACAACACCCAAAGUCG
rnacentral:rRNA from 1 species